CCUACGGGUGGCAGCAGUGAGGAAUAUUGGUCAAUGGGCGCUAGCCUGAACCAGCCAAGUAGCGUGAAGGAUGACUGCCCUACGGGUUGUAAACCUCUUUUAUAUGGGAACAAAGUGCAGUACGUAUACUGCUUUGCAUGUACCUUAAGAAUAAGGAUCGGCUAACUCCGUGCCAGCAGCCGCGGUAAUACGGAGGAUUCGAGCGUUAUCCGGAUUUAUUGGGUUUAAAGGGUGCGUAGGCGGGAUGUUAAGUCAGUUGUGAAAGUUUGGGGCUCAACCCUAAAAUUGCAGUUGAUACUGGCAUCCUUGAGUACGGGAGAGGUAGGCGGAAUGCGUGGUGUAGCGGUGAAAUGCUUAGAUAUCACGAAGAACUCCGAUUGCGAAGGCAGCCUGCUGGACUGUAACUGACGCUGAUGCACGAAAGUGUGGGUAUCGAACAGGAUUAGAUACCCUUGUAGUC
rnacentral:rRNA from 1 species